rnacentral:tRNA from 1 species
UCAAACAAACAAUACUAAGUGAAUUCACACUUCACCCCAUCGCACAUGCAAGUGGCUAUCAGGACUC